GGGCCGGUAGCUCAGGAGGUAGAGCAUCUGGCUUUUAACCAGAGGGUCGGGAGUUCGAGCCUCCCCCGGCUCA
rnacentral:tRNA from 1 species